ensembl:lncRNA
CAAUACCAGAAAUUAGAGGUGAAAGAGGCAGGCCCAACCACGAGAACAGGAAGUAGCCCAGAUACGUGGGCAAGCAUCCUGGGCCUCAUCUCAGGAAGUGGGUUUCAGGCUGUAGGACACACAGUAGUAAGAAGAGGACGUUUGUACCACCUGUGAGCAGCAGUUGUGCCAUGGCGAGGAUGAGUCACUGUGAUGUCAAAGCUGCUGCCCUGACAAGUGCAGGCUCUCCCCACCUCGGUGGAUGAUCUCAUAACCCACCUGAUCGCACACACAGGAUGUGUGGGAGUCGUCCUUGGCCCCUCUUCUCUGUCACUCCCAUUACACCUAUCCUUGAGUCUUAAGUCCAUCUUUUAGCUCCAUCUCCAAUCUGUUCCUCUCACCUGAAUCCCAGCAUCCUUCCCCUCUUUCCUGACCCCAGUGGGAGAUUCCUGAUCAAGCUCCCUGUUGCCUCCUAUUUCCACCAGUCUUUUGUUUCCUAGCAACCAGAGUGAUCUCAAUACAACAUACAGCUGAUCACCACACACCCAGCUUCAGACCCUUGAUGGCCUCCUCCUGUCCUCAGAAGAAAGGCAUGGGGGAUCUUAGCUUCCAGACCAAGGAUCCAGUCUGCAUACCCAGCACUGGAAGGUGAAGUCUUAACCGCUGGACUUCCAGGGAAGUCCCUGCAUUGUAGUUUUAAUUUACACUUUCUUGAUCACUAAUGAUGGUGAAUCUACUCAUUCUUCUAAAUCUCUGCUUGUUGUUCACUUCUACCCAAAACCCACUAUUAUACUUGCUUUCUGUGUAGACUGAUUACUCUCCUGUCCUUUGUGGUUCCAUGACAACAAACAUUUUCUCCACCUUGACCAUAACCCACUAAACUGCAACUGUUUACCUGUUCCCACCUACUCAACACCCUAGAGAAACACACACACACUUCCCCAUACCUCACAAACCUACACACCCACUUCCCCACACUUCACACACUCAUUCAGGCCACCAGCUUCCCCACCCUGCCUCAAACCCCUGAGCUCUGCGAGUGUGGAAGCAGCAUCUUCCUUUGGUACCUCCAGCUCCCAGCACAGGCCUGAAACAGACUCCUUACACAAUAAAUAUUAAAUGAAUGAAUGAAUAAAUGCUGAACAAAUUUGAGAAUGGGCAGAUGAAAAAGGGAGAUGCUUUGCAACCAGAAGGACCUGGCUGUGCCAAUUAACCCUUUCUCUGUUG